rnacentral:rRNA from 1 species
CCUACGGUGGUCUGCAGUGAGGAAUAUUGGUCAAUGGGCGGAAGCCUGAACCAGCCAAGUAGCGUGCAGGAUGACGGCCCUACGGGUUGUAAACUGCUUUUAUACGGGAAUAACGCGCCUUACGUGUAGGUCUUUUCAUGUACCGUAUGAAUAAGGACCGGCUAAUUCCGUGCCAGCAGCCGCGGUAAUACGGAGGGUCCGGGCGUUAUCCGGAUUUAUUGGGUUUAAAGGUAGCGUAGGCCGCAUGUCAAGCGUGCUGUGAAAUGUCCGGGCUCAACCCGGGCCUUGCAGCGCGAACUGGCGUGAUUGAGUACGCGGAAGGCAGGCGGAAUUCGUGGUGUAGCGGUGAAAUGCUUAGAUAUGACGAAGAACCCCGAUUGCGAAGGCAGCUUGCUGCAGCGGAACUGACGCUGAUGCUCGAAAGCGCGGGUAUCGAACAGGAUUAGAUACCCUAGUAGUC